rnacentral:rRNA from 1 species
AUGGCUACCACCUCCGGCGGCGGGGCCGCCGGCGACCCCGCUGCGUCCUCACCAGCGCCGAGCCAACCACAGCAUCCGACACCCCGCAUCUCUCACAUCGUCCGCACCUACCUCGACCUCUCCUCCAAUUCCAAGAAGCGCCGCGCCGCCCGUAAGAACCAGCUCAAGCCCGGCGGCGUAGAGACUUCCGCCGCCGGAGAAAACAAGGGAUGCGGCCCCUCUGGGGCCGCCUCGUUGGAGCAUUCGCGGCUGCUCCGGGAGCUGGGCAUCCGGGUCUCCCGCUACACGAACGAGGAGCGCCGCGAUAUCAUCACCCGCUACAUGCAGAAGCGGAGCGGCCGCCAGGGCGUUAACCGCGCCGCCGCUAAGGUCCCGUCGAGGCAAGCCCUGGCGGAGCGGCGCCGGAGGAGUGCCGGAGGGCAGUUCCUCGGCAAGGAGGACCUGCAGACUGCAGAUAAACCUGAAGAGAAGGCAGAAGAAGAGCCAGAAUUGCCACCAGAAGUUGUUGCGAACGCUGGAGGAGUGCCCAUAAUUGGAAUGGUCUUCGAGAGUGAAGAGAAAGCAUGCAAGUAUUAUGUUAGUUAUGCAGGAAAUGUGGGAUUUAGUGUCCGAAAAGGAUUGUGGGAUAAAACAGCAAAAAGUGGCAGUAGAUCAAGGUUUUAUGUCUGUUCCAGAGAGGGCUUUCGCGCAAAGAAUUUGCCCAAGAGACCUUGCCCGGAGACGAGGACGGGUUGCCCUGCACGAUUUUCUAUCAUGUUAACGCCCAGUGGAAAAUACCGAGUGACAGAAUUUGUGCAGGAUCAUAAUCACCAGCUUGCUGGUCCAAUUGAUAUUGGAAUGCUGAAGUCGCAAAGAUUAUUGUCCAAGGUUCAAUCUGGAAAUGGAAAUGCCAUAAGCAUUCCUUCAAGGUACAAGAAUUAUCUUCGGACCAAGUCUACAAAAGAUAUGAACGCAGGGGAUUUUGGAGCUCUUACAGAUUAUUUUCGAAGUAUGAAGAGUGAUAAUCCAUCUUUUUACUAUGCCAUCCAGGUGGAUGAAAAUGACAAAGCUGCCAAUGUCUUCUGGGCUGAUGCAAGAUCAAUCUUCGACUAUCAUUAUUUCAGUGAUGUGAUCUGCUUUGAUAUGACCUACAAACUGAAUGACUACAGCAGGCCACUAGCUUUUAUUUUGGGUAUGAACCAUCAUAGGCAAAUGGUCAUAUUUGGUGCUGCUUUCCUGUAUGAUGAAACGGCUGAAUCUUUCAAGUGGCUUCUUGAGACCUUUAAGAGUGCCAUGUGUGGGAAACAGCCAAAGACAAUUUUGACAGAUCGAUCUGCUGCUUUGAAGGAAGCGCUAGACCUCGCUUGGCCUGGUACAGUUCACCGUUAUUGCUUGUGGCAAAUAUACCAGGAUGCAGCUAAGUCCUUGGCGCAUGUUUUCUGUAUUUCAGAAGAAUUCACACAUGAUUUUAGCCAUUGUGUAUUUGAUGUCGAGGAUGGCCAAGAGUUUGUUGAGACAUGGAAUGUGAUAAUGGAGAAAUACAACCUUAAAGAAAACAAAUUGUUAAAUGAGCUUUACGAAGGCAGAGAAAAUUGGGCCUUGCCAUACGGCCGACAAAUAUUCUCUGGGGACAUUAAAAGCAUGGUACGAGCAGAAACCUUAGGCAUAAGGAUGAAAGAAUACUUGGGUUGUGAGAAAGAGCUGUCUCCUUUUUUGAAGUUUUUUGAAAGUUCAGUUGAGAAGAGGAGACAGGAAGAGAUACAAGCUGAUUACCAAGCCAGCCAAAGGGAACCAAGAACACCUCUGCCACUGCUCUGGCAGGCUGCAAACUUGUAUACACCAAUAAAUUUUGAGUUAUUUAGGAAAGAGUAUGAAGAGUGCAUGGACUGUAUGGUUUACGGUUGCGGCGAGUUCGGCUCUCUUUCAGAGUAUAUGAUUACUGUUAAAAACAGAACGAAAGAACAACUUGUGCGGUUUGAUUCAUCAGAUGGCACGGUUGCAUGCACUUGUAAAAAAUUUGAAACUGCUGGAAUUUUAUGCUGCCAUAUAUUAAAGGUAUAUGAACUGAAGAAUGUUAAAGAGAUCCCCCCACAGUAUCUUCUUAAGAGAUGGAGUAAAGAUGCAAAGUUGGGGACCGUUCAUGAAAUCGAUGGGUUUAGUUUUGACAGUCAUAUAGGAUCUUGUGUUCCAGAGCGUUAUGCAGCUCUUUGUCGUUUGUUCUAUAAGAUUGCUUCUAAGGCUGCAGCGAACGUAGAGACAUUUUCAAUGGUCGCAAGCCAGUCGGAUCAACUUAAUGAAGGAAUUGAACGAACUUUGCAAUCAACAUUAGCUGCUAAGUCAUCUGUUGUCCAUUCCAUCAAGGAUCAGUUAACUCGUAUGGCUCAAAAUGAUUAUCCCCUUGGUAAUAGCAGUGAGGCUCAGAAAUCUACCGGAAAGAAGAUGAGUGAAGUUACUCAUCGUGGAAAUUGUCAGGAAACCAAUAAAAGGCAGAAACAAAGAAGAGGGCAUUCUGGCGAAGCAGCUGCAGGACCAAGGGAAAGGGAAGUGAAUGUUACGGAUCAGUUCCUACCAGAUCAACUAAUGCAGGGACAUUAUGUACUUGGCCAUAACUUUGGUAUUAGUACCUCACAGAACAUUCGUGACGAUUUGAACCAAUUUGGUCAGGCUUCUGCAGUUCCAAUCCUGCAACAGCAGCCAUUCCCUGGGAAUGGUCCACUAACCGAAACCCAAGCCUAUACUGGUGACAUGCACGCAUUGCAAUUCAUGGAGACGAAUCCCCAGAUCGACCAUGAGAAUGGAGAGGAGGGUCAGUCGUCGAUACCGGUGUGGGAUUUUCUAUGA